ensembl:lncRNA
ACAUUUCUAUUCAACUAUGUAUGACUAAUGUAGGACCAAUACUGUGGUUAAUCGUGUGUGUGUGUGUGUGUGUGUGUGUGUGUGUGUGUGUGUUCUAAACCUUGCAUCAGCCAUCACCACAGAAGACUCCCUUUCCUCCCCGCCAACUGCCGUUACAGAAGUUGUGAAACACUUCCAGGAAUCUUGUCUGCUGCAAAUGGAUCCUUUAGCAAGUGAAGGGAAGGCAGGACACGAGGCCCAGGGCGAGAGAAGGUAGUCAUUCUUUACAUUGGUUCCCGACAAAACCAACAAAAGGACCGGCACACCAUGAACUGACACCCAUAACACAAACAAUGAACCACAAACACAAAAGACCAAAAGGACAACAUAAAUAGGUUCCCCAAUUAGAGGCAACUCGGGCAGCUGCCUCUAAAGAGGAGCGCAGAGUGUCCAAGAGGCACCUCUGCGGUCAGGCCCUGAAUGUGGCCCCCGGGCGCAUAGAGAUGCCUAGCGGCAUCCCAGCCAGGACCUGACACAUCUCACAGGUUCUAUUGGACAAAUGGAUUUUAAUAAUUAGAAAGAAGAUAAAACUUCAAUCCGGAAAUAUGGUGAGGAAGAUGCAGUACGCGUACAGGAAAGUAAAGGUGUUGUGCCCUGAGAACUGAAUUCCAUAGAUGGUGAUUAAAGGAUGGUUGUCUAUGGGAUUAGUUCUUCUGGCAAGACACUGCUCAUCAGCUUUUGGUAACAAAUAAACUUCAAUACUUCUAAAUGAGGAUUAUCUGUCUUCAUAAGACAAACUUCCAAAUAAAAUGAUUGUCCUGUUGAUGUAGUCAGCACUUUACAAUUCAGACAUAAUAAACUGCAAAGGUCUGGUUGGAGUUAUUGUGUAUGUCCUAUUGUUUCAAUGAAUAAAUGUGUCCUCCAGAAAUACACUGUCUGAUUUAUUAAUUUUAACAAUCUUAACACAAGUUUUGGUAUAUGAUUUACAUCAAAACAUUUGGGAAAGACAAAAUCUUCUGUGAAACAUUUAAUGAGAAACAGGAUGUGCUCAAGCACAACUUUUCAGUACAUUUUACAGUUUAGCAUUGUCAGCUAGGUCAACAGUGUUCAGCAAAUCCAACCCACACACCCAGGCCACAGCUAUAUCUUAUCUUUACUGAGAGACUGUGACUUAAUGCCAGACACCAUUCCUAAGUCAGAGAGAUAAGCAGGGUUCAAAAACAUCACUGAACUAAACAGUGAUCAAUGAAAUAAAAAAUGUAGAGUGAAAAUUAUUAUAGUCACUGGUUAGUUAUAAAAUUCCUUUAUCUCUUAAUAAGGAACUUAAUAAACCUGGUGAACUUUUAAAUUGUACUUUUUACACUGAUGGAUACGGCUGACAUUGAAUAAAUAGUCAUACUAGUCCCAACUUAGUUCCUACUUAUUGAGUUCCUACUUCCUGCCGUGAAUGGGAAUGUCUGUUUCAGUAAUUCAAUUUCUAUAUUCAUCAACAAAGCCAAGUUUCGACUGGGUUUAAUUCAUCAAUAAGGCUUGCGCAGCUGUUUAAUAUGGCCAAUAUACAGCUAUGAUGGUAAAUUACGUACUGUUUUGUACAUAGUAAACUAGUAUGCCAGUACUGGGACAGAUUGGGACAGACUAACAAUUUUAAAUCAAACUUAAAGACCCAGCUUUUUUCUCUUGCUUUUUGUAAGACAAAAGACAGUCUUUACCCAUUCUUCCCAGAGAUAAGGUGUGAGAAUUUCAACAGUAUGAUGGAGUUUUAAACCUCGGAAGUUAUACCUGGCUGCAACAUACAAUUUAAUAAAACAUAAAAAUACAUGGUUAUUAAAUAAGCAUUAUUUAAACUUCAUUUAUCUCAACAAUCCCCCGUUUCAUACCAUUUAUGGUGUGAAAAAACUAUAAAUGUCCCUGAGAACAGAGUUAUUACAUAAACAGAAAUAUAACAAGAAUGUAAACAUCAAUUGUUGUAAA